AGUAAUAUAGCUCUGGGGUAGAACACUUGCCUAGCAUGCAUGACCCCUGGGUUCAAUCCCCAGUACUGCAA
rnacentral:tRNA from 1 species